CCAUAUGUUCUUUUAAAACUAGCAUGAGUACAUGUAAUCAUUUAUCAUUUUCUUUUGUUCUUUUGUUUAUGGUACAAGAUGUAAUCGAUCAAAGGGGGGGGUCAGUAGUAUGGGUUAAGGAUAUAGUUAAUUAAAAGAUCUGGUAGUUAAUGAAUUGUAAAUGAUGAAUUGUAGCACCU